UUUUUUUGUCUUUUUAUGUCCUGUUUACGGCAUUCAUAUGUGUAGCGGAGAGCUGAUUUCUCACAGCUUAACUCCACCAGUAUGUCCAGAGAAGGCAGGAACAAUUAAUAAAUCCCAGAGAAUAUCCAACACAGUCAGUAAUAAAACCCAAUAAUAUCCCAUCACCUUUCGCAAUCACAGGAGUAAAGAACUAACUUUUAAUCACACAACCCUUUUAGUUCCACUGAAGCAUGGCUCUCCAGCCCAAACUUUCCAGCCCAAACCAGUUCCAACUAGUCUGGCAGUGUGCCUGGGACUACGCCCUGCUGGAGAACAAUGGGACAGGAAACGGGGGAGGGGUGCACCUUCCUAUACACAAUCUAUACACAGUCUAAUAGAAGUCCAUACACUGUGCUUAAAGGGCCAGUAGCCACAUAAUAAAAAUCCAUCAUGCCCAAAUACUGUCUUUAAAGGGCUAUACCCCCAGGGCCAUAAUCACUGGGCAGGAGGUGAGCCAUCAGCCCCCUCCAGGAAACUGGGGCGUACUCUGGUAUAGGACCCAGUCCGCUACAUUUCUCCCCUUUACCAAAACGACUAUCCAGACUCCAGACCUCCAAUCGGUCUGGGGUGCUGAGAGUCGGCCGGCCUUUCUUACCCGGUGUAGCUGUCCCGGUAAUCCCUGUUCUAAUUGCCACAUGUGCCCCGUUGUAAAUUCAUAGUCUGGUAGCAAAGUAACCAGGGCGCCCUCUCCCCUGGUUGGACAAAACUGUUGCUGGGGACGGCGGAUGCAGUUCCCCUCCUCUAGACCUGGUGGGUCGAGGCCAGCAAAACUUAGCUCUGUGGUCCUCGGUGCCCUUGAUGUAGAUGGUGCGCCAUCAGGUUCUAAGGCAGAAGGGAAGAGAGGGCAGAAGCUCUUCUUCCUACAACGCUCUCCUUUGUUGUAGGGGGGGACCAACUGUCUCCCCUUCCAAUACAUUGUUCUGCUGUUGGGAUGGGGAACCAGCCAUCUCCCCUUCCAAUGACAUGCUCAGCCGCUGGAGAGGGAAACCAGUUGUCUCCCCUCCCUGCAAGGCACUCUGCCACUGGGGAGAGAGACCACCUGUCACUUCUCCCAACAUCACACUUGGCUGCUGGAGGGGGGAACAGACUGUCUCCCCUUUGGCUAAACGGUCUUGCUGUUGGGAAACAGGACAGACUGUCCUUAUCCUUGGUGGUGUAGGUUCAGAGACUACGGUCCCAUCUGCACUGUUGUGGGGCUUACUGUCUCACCUUGGUGGGCUAUGCUGCCGCUGGGGAGGGAGGACGCUGCUCUCUACCCCCAAUGAAACACACUGCCGCUGGGAAUCUGGGCCGACUCCCCCUGCCACUGGGGAGGGAGGAUGCUACUCUCCUCUCCCUGCAAGGUACACUGCCGCUGGGGAAGGGAGACGAUGCUCUCCACUCCCUGCUCUUCACCCUGCCGCUGGGGAUCUGGGCCGACUGCCCAGCACCCCUGUAGGGCCAGUAGAGAGACCGCCGUCCCAUCUCUAACUGCCAUCUGUGGGUCUUCCCAGGACCAGUCUAUGAAGUCCCUCAGUUCUGGGGCUGGUUGGGGAGUAGAUGGUACAGACCCCAGGUCUCCUGAUGACGGGCUUGGUUGUUGGGGAGGAAGGACGAAACUCAAUGCUCCCAAUGGUGUACAGUCCAUAAGCCCCCUCAGGUUAGAAUCAGGCAGUGUUACUGUAUCAAAUAAAAGGGCAUAAUCCUGUUCGAACUCCCCCUGCUCUGGUGGUACCUGCAGGGUAUAGGAUGACUGGCUGGAACUGAUCAGGUGCUGGUAAUCCUGCUCAAGCUCCCAUUCCUGGACAGCCAAUUCAAUCAGGUCUGGCUCCAGGUCUUCAGCCAUAGGGAGAUCCAGCAUGGCCUCUCUAUAGUUAAGUAUGCCCCAAAGCUGGGAUUCUGCCGCACUCCCAAAGUCCGGUUCUGCAAAGGCCCCCCAUAAUAAACCAGGGCCAUUGUACUCCUUGCCCUCCGGUUUGUCGAACUUGGCCAUUCCGUGAACACGCUGGACCGCGUACCAACGUAGCGCUUGGUACGCAUCAUCGAGACCCAGUUCCCUCCAUGCCAGUGUAUGAAGCUGUAUCACCAACUCUCCCCCAGGCUGAUCUCCCAGUAUAGGCAUCCGUAGGGCCACUCGAGCUUGUAGUCGCUGCUCCUUGCUGGGGAGGCGCUCACCUUGCCAACGCUGUACACCCUCCAGAGUUUCUUCCCACAUCUCUUGUCAGGCGUCCUCUCUGCAUGCCAACCUGGUUGCCGCUGCUAUCUGCUUAUCCACUGUGGCCAAGAUGCUCUGUAACCUCCGGUUAAACUCAACUUUCACCUCGAGUGUUGUCCAGGGACUCGCUGGCUCUAUGUCGCUCCAUAUUGAUUCCUGUGUCUCUAAGGUGCUGUUCCUCUCUGGAGUUUGUUGAACCCUUUGUCUUCGUACAAACUCCUGUACUUCUGUCAUGGUUCUGGAGAUAAUCUCUGUUGGUGGAGUUUCCCCAUAGAAUGACAGCCGGAAUUGCAGUUCUCUCUGAAAUUCCAAUCGCCCCUGUUCCUCUGCUGGGUUGUUCUGUACCCAAACUGUACCCUUUUCUGCUCUGUAUUCCGCCAUUAGUGCUGUUGCCUUUCCUGGUGCUUGCUCCUCUGUGGAUCUGGAUCCCGACGCUGCCAACCAAUGUAGCGGAGAGCUGAUUUCUCACAGCUUAACUCCACCAGUAUAUCUAGAGAAGGCAGGAACAAGUAAUAAAUCCCUGAGAAUAUCCAGCACAGUCAGUAAUAAAAUCCAAUAAUUUCCCAUCACCUUUCCCAAUCACUGGAUGACACAUAGUAUCAGGAGUAGAAAUUGACUAACUUUUAAUCACACAACCCCUGCUUUUAUGCAAUGCUCCCGUGCAAGGGAGCCACCCACAAUAAUUAGUACAUUAACCAAUAAAGUACAAGGUACAACCCACACAUCUCCUCCCAUCAGCUUAUUUGUUAACAUAAUAAAAAUGUACAUAUUUUUCUGCAACUUCUAGAUGUACCCCAAAUACAUAGGGUACACCCCUAAAUGUGGUAUCCCAUGAUAGUCCUGAUCUGGGUGAAUAACAUAUUCAAAAAUCACCCAGAUCGGACCAGGGGUUCGGGAGUUAUGGGGGUUAAAAAGUUAGGUGGAUUUCCCUUUAGUUCCACUGAAGCAUGGCUCUCCAGCCCAAACCAGUUCCAACUAGUCUGGCAGUGUGCCUGGGACUACGCCCUGCUGGAGAACAAUGGAACAGGAAACGGGGAGGGGUUCACCUUCCUAUACACAAUCUAUACACAGUCUAAUAGAAGUCCAUACACUGUGCUUAAAGGGCCAGUAGCCACAUAAUAAAAAUCCAUCAUGCCCAAAUACUGUCUUUAAAGGGCAAUACCCCCAGGGCCAUAAUCACUGGGCAGGAGGUGAGCCAUCAGCCCCCUCCAGGAAACUGGGGCGUACUCUGGUAUAGGACCCAGUCCGCUACAUUAUAUGUUUCUCCGGUUCGGUGGAUUGGUGUCUACAUUAGCUGUGCCUGUGUCUCUGGAAAGGAAGAUCUAUUAAACGGCUUUUAACCCCUCUUUUAUGCCUGGUGGUGCCGUUACAAUUGGUGGCAAGCGGCGGGAUCGUUCCUACAGCCAUAAGGACAGCUACAAGGAGACACCAUUCCGUGGAUUUACAAGUUGGGGGCAACGCAUGUCCCAGUACAGUGACCCUAAAAGCAACAGAAUGGAACCAGCAGUGUUAUACGAGGAGGAGGACCUGGAUGGCCGGGAUGCAUUAAGGAAAGGCAUCUGGUACCAGGCCUUGGAUAAUGUACAAUACCAGCUGGGUGAGAGUCUCCCCAGUGAAGAGCAGCAAUUGCAGAAGCAAGUGGCCCUGCGGAUGCCCUUCCUGGGAGAGCAGCCCCUGGAGGAAUGGGUGAAGGAACUAGAGCACUGUAUGGUAUGGCAAGAGCUAUGGCUAGAGGAUGCCUACCAGGCGCUCUGGUGGUAUAUGGCACAGUAUAUACCCUGGACAGCUGAGGGAGAGGAGUUUGAUGGUCCUGGCUUGUUAUGGGAGUCCUUUGCAGAGCCUGACUUCGGGAGCCCUGCGCAGACCAGACUUCAGGACAUCAUCUACGAGAGGGGGGCUAUGCAUGACUGGGAUGACCCCCAUGAGGUAGAGCAAGACCUGGCUCACCUAGCAACCCAGGAGUGGGAACUGGAGCAGGACUACCGAGAUCUCUUCCACUCCAUUGGGAAGGCUCAGCAGGACAGCAAGGUGACAGACCCAGAUCCAGACCCAUUCAGCUGGGACGAUAUUGUGGAGAUUUACUGGGAAGGACCCCAGGUGGCCGGUGGAGAUGGGACCAAGGUCUCUCCACCGGUCCUGCAGGGAAUUGGGAGCCCAGUCUCCAUUCCCCAGCGGCAGUCUGAGUUACAGGGGGCAGAGACAGCUGGUCCUGUCCCCCCGCGGCACCACUAGUCUCCAUUCCCCAGCGGCAGAGCAAUGUACAGGGAAUUGGGAGCCCAGUCUCCAUUCCCCAGCGGCAGAGCAAUGUACAGGGAAUUGGGAGCCCAGUCUCCAUUCCCCAGCAGCAGGCUGAGCUACCAGGGGCAAAGACGGUCGGUCCUGUCCCCCAGCAACAGGGCUGUUUAGCCAAAGAGGAGACAGUUGGUCUCCCCCUGCAGCAGCAGAGCUGUGUAUCUAAAGGGGAGACAGUCGGUCUCCCCCUCCAGCAGCAGAGCUGUGUAUCCAAAGGAGAGACAGUUGGUCUCCCCCUCCAACAACCAGGCUCCAACCAGGCUACUUCCGUGGUAGUGCUGGCACCAGGGCAGAGUACCGCUGGUCUCUGCCCACUCAGCAACCCACCAAGGCAGCCUACCAGUACCCCGCACAGCCGUGGUGAGGCACCUGGACAUGGACAAGUUUCUCCUCUACCCAGGUGUAGUAACCAGUUAUUGUGGGUGGGCUGUACUGCUAAUUGUGUUUUGUGGGUGGGCUGUUGGACUAACCAGGGCACUGACCGGCAGGAAAAGGGGAGACAUGUGACGAGACCAAUCUCACCACUUUGCAUUGGAGGAGCCUGGUUGCCUGUCUGCUGCCUUUAGACUAUGGCCCCAUGUUGAAACGUUUCAUUUUCCCCUGCAAAGACACAAAAGCCGGGUCAUUGGGUGCUUGCCCUGUUUGAGCGGUGAUACCCCAGAUAGCUAUGCCAUGGAGCCCAUGCGUAUAAUGAAAAACUAUGGGAAAGACUUUGGCUCCAUGGCAAUUGAACUGUAUGUGUGUGCUCUGAGCGCCAUUCAGUAAUAAUGUGCGCUCAGAUCUAAGCUAUCUGGGGAUAUGUUGAAUGUACCUAUUUUAUGCAAUGGCUGCACAGUUAUAUAUUUUUAUGAAUUUUAUUGUCUUAUUUAUUAUUUAUUAUUGCCAUUUAUAUAGCGCCAACAGAUUCCGUAGCACUUGCUGCCAUGUGUUCAAUGGAGUUUUGCCUCUGACCUUGGAGAUCAUUGGAUUACUUCCCAAUUAUCUCCAGGAUAGAAGACUCUGUGGAACUGGUUUUGGGCAGAAAAGUCAUGCUUCCUGUGGUCACAAAGGACUACCAUCUAUCUUUUGAACCACUGGACCAAUUUGUAUGAUUUUGACGUAUGUUUGUAUUUGGAGUAUGCUGAAAAUGUAAGUUGUAUGUGAAUGUGAUGCAUACUUUUAAAGUUAUGAAUGUGGAAAAAUUGUAUUUCUCUGCCUGUAAUAAUUACAUUACCCAUUGUGUAAUGUAAUUGUAUCACAGGCAGAGGGGAGGAUUUUGUGUGGGAGUGUCUGAGUGUAUUGUACGUGUUUAUUGGUUGUUUUCCAAAACCCUGUGGGUGGUACUAAUGUGUAUACAAGAACAAUAAACCCACAGCUCUGUCUGGUCCUGCUUGACCCUCAAAACAGAGCCUUGUCUCGUUCUUGGGGGGAUUUAUUGUAUGUUGUUCCAGUUCGACUGCUAGGAGUGUAAACCUAUUCGUAUGGUUUUUCCUAUUCGGCUGUUACAGCAUUCGUAUGGUUCUGGUUUGCCUGUUUACGGCAUUCGAUGCUUCUCCGGUUCGGCGGAUUGGUGUUCUGCAGUAGCUGUGCCUGUGUCUCUGGAAGGGAAGAUCUACUAAACGACUUUUAACCCCCUUUUAUGCCUGGGGGUGCCGUUACACCGGGCAUUUUUCAAUCAGAGCGGCCCCCUAAGAAGGGGGCGGGGACAGAGAGGGUGUGUUUUGACAUCACUAAUGACAAGCACGCCCCCUCUCAAAGUGAGCAUGUUGGUUCAAUGCACAGAGCCCCGCUGAAAAGCUCUGGCAUUAGAAGACGGCCCUGUAUUUGUUCUGCGCAGCGCAAGCAAAUUUAAUAACAUGCUUGCGCUGUGUUUGCUUUUAAAUUGUCUCUGGUGUCUCCACAAGUGGGAUACCAGAGGACAAAAGGGCCAGGAAAGUGUAUGGUGCAUCUGUUUGGAGCCUGCUUGUGGGAUUGCGUGUGUGUAGAGUGUGUUGUGGUAUUGUGUAUAGGUCAAUUUCAUUUCUAUUUGUGGUGUAAUAUGUGUGGCUAGGGGCUGUAGAGAGUGUAUGUAUAGGGGCAUAGUGUUAUAGGGGAUGUAGCGAGUGUGUGCAGACGGGCUGUAGUGUGUGUAUAGGUGACGUAGUGUGUGUAGAGGUGGUAGAGAAGGUGUGUUUAGGAAUGUAGUGUGUGGGUAGGUUGUGCAGUGUGUGUGUAGGAGAUCUAGUGUGUAAAGGACCCAGAGUUUGUAUAGAAGAUUGUGUGUGUGUGUGUGUGUGUGUGUGUAGAGGAUUAAGAGUGCAUAUAGGGUAAGGGAUCCAGCAUGUAUCUGGAGCAUAAUGUGUGUAGUGGUGCAGUGUGAGGGGUGCUGUAGUGUGUGUAUAUAUUUUGGAUGUACAGGGCCGGCCUUAGGCAAUUAGGC